rfam:Brachypodium distachyon strain Bd21 chromosome 4, whole genome shotgun sequence.
AUAUUACUCCCUCCGUGCAACAAAAGAUGUCUCAAGUUUGUCAAAACUUGGAUGUAUCUAAACAUGACUACUGCAUAGAUGCAGUCAAAUUUAAUCAAAGUUGAGACAUCUUUUGUUGGACGGAGGAAGUAUGUG